rnacentral:rRNA from 1 species
UCAGUAUAAACGAUUCUAUCGUGAAACCGCGAACGGCUCAUUAUAACAGCUAUAAUGUACUUGAUCUUGACAAUCCUACAUGGAUAACUGUGGUAAUUCUAGAGCUAAUACAUGCACCAAAGCUCUGCCCCUCGCGGAAAGAGCGCAUUUAUUAGCACAAAACCAAGCGACCUCUCGGGUCGUUUUUUGUUGACUCAGAAUAACUCAGCUGAUCGCAUGUUCUUGCACCGGCGACGUGUCUUUCAAGUAUCUGCCUUAUCAACUUUCGAUGUUAGGGUAUAUGCCUAACAUGGUUAUGACGGGUAACGGAGGAUUAGGGUUUGACUCCGGAGAAGGAGCCUGAGAAAUGGCCACCACAUCCAAGGAUGGCAGCAGGCGCGCAAAUUACCCACUCUCAGUGCGAGGAGGUAGUGACGAAAAAUAACGAGACAAUUCUCUACGAGGCCUGUCAUCGGAAUGGGUACAAUUUAAA